GUGCUCGCUUUGGCAGUACAUAUACUAAAAUUGGAAUGAUACAGAGAAUAGUAUGGCCCCUGUGCAAGGACGGCACGCAAAUUCAUGAAGCAUUCCAUAUUUUU